rnacentral:rRNA from 1 species
UCGAACGAGACUUUCGGGUCUAGUGGCGGACGGCUGAGUAACGCGUAGGUAACGUACCUCUUACUGGGGGAUAACAUCGGGAAACCGGUGCUAAUACCGCAUAAGUCGUGUCUUGAAAUAGAUACGAUUAAAGAUUUAUCGGUAAGAGAUUGGCCUGCGUCUGAUUAGCUAGUUGGUAGGGUAAUGGCCUACCAAGGCGAUGAUCAGUAGUUGGUCUGAGAGGAUGACCAGCCAGAGUGGGACUGAGAACGGCCCACACUUCUACGGAAGGCAGCAGUAGGGAAUUUUGCGCAAUGGGCGAAAGCCUGACGCAGCAACACCGCGUGCGGGAUGAAGGCCUUUGGGUUGUAAACCGCUGUCAGCAGGGAAUAAAUUGACUGUACCUGCAAAGGAAGCACCGGCUAACUACGUGCCAGCAGCCGCG